UACAGAGGGUGCGAGCGUUAAUCGGAUUUACUGGGCGUAAAGCGUGCGUAGGUGGUCUUUUUAAGUCGGAUGUGAAAUCCCUGAGCUUAACUUAGGAAUUGCAUUCGAUACUGGGAAGCUAGAGUAUGGGAGAGGAUGGUAGAAUUCCAGGUGUAGCGGUGAAAUGCGUAGAGAUCUGGAGGAAUACCGAUGGCGAAGGCAGCCAUCUGGCCUAAUACUGACGCUGAGGUACGAAAGCAUGGGGAGCAAACAGG
rnacentral:rRNA from 1 species